UACGGGGGGGGCAAGCGUUGUUCGGAAUUACUGGGCGUAAAGGGCUCGUAGGCGGCCAACUAAGUCCGACGUGAAAUCCCUCGGCUUAACCGGGGAACUGCGUCUGAUACUGGAUGGCUUGAGUUUGGGAGAGGGAUGCGGAAUUCCAGGUGUAGCGGUGAAAUGCGUAGAUAUCUGGAGGAACACCGGUGGCGAAGGCGGCAUGCUGGACCAACACUGACGCUGAGGAGCGAAAGCGAGGGGAGCAAACGGG
rnacentral:rRNA from 1 species